UACGUAGGGUGCGAGCGUUAAUCGGAAUUACUGGGCGUAAAGGGCGCGUAGGCGGCCACCGCAAGUCGACUGUGAAAUCUCCGGGCUUAACCCGGAAAGGUCAGCCGAUACUGCGGGGCUAGAGUGCAGAAGGGGCAACUGGAAUUCUCGGUGUAGCGGUGAAAUGCGUAGAUAUCGAGAGGAACACCUGCGGCGAAGGCGGCGCUCUGGGCCGGUACUGACGCUGAGGAGCGAAAGCGUGGGGAUCAAACAGG
rnacentral:rRNA from 1 species